AUACGUAGGUGGCAGGCGGUUGUCCGGAUUUACUGGGCGUAAAGAGUAUGUAGGCGGAUAUUUAAGUCAGAUGUGAAAUUCCCGGGCUUAACCUGGGAGCUGCAUUUGAUACUGGAUAUCUAGAGUGCGGGAGAGGAAAGUGGAAUUCCUAGUGUAGCGGUGAAAUGCGUAGAGAUUAGGAAGAACACCAGUGGCGAAGGCGACUUUCUGGACCGUAACUGACGCUGAGAUACGAAAGCGGUGGGGAGC
rnacentral:rRNA from 1 species